rnacentral:rRNA from 1 species
UACGUAGGGGGCAAGCGUUGUCCGGAUUCACUGGGCGUAAAGCGUGUGUAGGCGGAUCGUUAAGUGCCUUGUGAAAUCCCACGGCUCAACCGUGGAACUGCUUGGCAUACUGGCGGUCUUGAGCAACCUAGGGGCGAGCGGAACAAAUGGUGGAGCGGUGAAAUGCGUAGAUAUCAUUUGGAACGCCAAUGGUGAAAACAGCUCGCUGGGGGUUUGCUGACGCUGAGACACGAAAGCCAGGGGAGCAAACGGG